GUGUUGUAGUGUAGUGUAGUGUAAUGUAGUGUAGUGUAGUGUAGUGUAGUGUAGUGUAAUGUAGUGUAGUGUAGUGUAGUGUAGUGUAGUGUAGUGUAGUGUAAUGUAGUGUAGUGUAGUGUAGUGUAUUGUAGUGUAGUGUAGUGUAAUGUAGUGUAAUGUAGUGUAGUGUAGUGUAUGUAGUGUAGUGUAGUGUAGUGUAAUGUAGUGUAGUGUAGUGUAGUGUAGUGUAAUGUAGUGUAGUGUAGUGUAGUGUAGUGUAAUGUAGUGUAAUGUGUAGUGUAGUGUAGUGUAGUGUAGUGUAGUGUAGUGUAGUGUAGUGUAAUGUAAUGUAGUGUAAUGUAGUGUAGUGUAGUGUAAUGUAGUGUAAUGUAGUGUAAUGUAGUGUAGUGUAGUGUAGUGUAGUGUAAUGUAGUGUAAUGUAGUGUAGUGUAAUGUAGUGUAGUGUAAUGUAGUGUAAUGUAGUUAG
ensembl:lncRNA